UACAGAGGUCUCAAGCGUUGUUCGGAAUCACUGGGCGUAAAGGGUGCGUAGGCGGCACGGUAAGUCAGAGGUGAAAUCCCGGAGCUCAACUUCGGAAUUGCCUCCGAUACUGCCGUGCUUGAGGACUGGAGAGGAAAUUGGAAUUCACAGUGGAGCAGUGAAAUGCGUAGAUAUUGUGAGGAACACUAGUGGCGAAGGCGAAUCUCUGGACAGUUCCUGACGCUGAGGCACGAAGGCCAGGGGAGCAAACGGG
rnacentral:rRNA from 1 species